UGAAUCUUCAUGUCUCAAGGUAUGUCACUUUUCAUAUUUUUCUAAAACUUUUUUGAUUCUUAUCUUCUCGUAAAUGAGUUUCAAAUUUCAAAAAUUCAUUAAUAAUGAUGAUAUGCUUUGAGCACUGGGUUAUGAUAAACCGUGAUUACUUUCGUUGACAUUCACUACUGAUACUUCUCAUUAAUAAAUAUUUAUGUGACGAAUUUAUUACAUGAUUAUAUUUCUAAUCCUAUUUAUUAUCUUUUUCAGAUUGGCCCCGUAUUUUAAAUUUUUUAUCCAUUCCUCCGAUUUUUGAAAGGUACAAAAAUUUUUUAUUUCUUGGGUGAAUCUCCAUGUCUCGAGAUCAGCCCCGGUAUAUUCACUUUUUCCUCCAUUUCUUGGAUUUUUGAAAGUGUUUUCACAUCAUCAAUGUAAUGCACAAAAGAAGACGCUCAUUACUGCAAUUCUUUACAGGUGUUUGGAGUUAUGUUGUAAAUUUGCGUUCAAAAAACGAAGUCCUAAAACUGAGAAACUUUCAGUUGAAAUGGUUACUAUCAUAUUCUAUUUCUUGGGUGAAUCACAAAAUUUUCAGGUUACUAUCAUAUUCUAUUUCUUGGGUGAAUCUCAAUAUUUUCAGUAAUUCCAUUUCUUCCAUGUGAGAUCAGCUUCAUUCCUUCUAUUGAUUACAGCUCCAACAUUUGUGUCUCAACAUUUGGCAAACUUUUUGAUGAGGAAUUAAUGUAACAAUAGAAAUCACACUAGAUUUGCAAGAAAUAAUGCUGAAUGCAGAUUGGUUUUCGAAUUGAAUAAAUCACAAACAUGGGAGAUAUCAAGUUGGUAGAUGGUGAUAUUUUUGGAAGGACAUCUAUUCUUUUAUUUGAAUAAAUGAAUGUAAGUUGAUUUGAAUCUUUGAAUUGAAAAAUAAAUUAUGAUGAUAUUGAAA